UACGGAGGGGGCAAGCGUUGUUCGGAGUCACUGGGCGUAAAGGGCGCGUAGGCGGUGCAUCAAGUCAGGCGUGAAAGCCCCGGGCUUAACCUGGGAAUUGCGCUUGAUACUGGAGAACUAGAGUUCGGGAGAGGAUGGUGGAAUUCCCAGUGUAGAGGUGAAAUUCGUAGAUAUUGGGAAGAACACCGAUGGCGAAGGCAGCCAUCUGGACCGACACUGACGCUGAGGCGCGAAAGCGUGGGGAGCAAACAGG
rnacentral:rRNA from 1 species